CCUAUAUUGAAAGCCUCAAGCUAUCCAGAGAUUGUUGGGAUGGCAACUGGGUAGUGAAUGGGAAUCAGCAUAAAUGCCUACUGCUAGGAAUACAGGAAAGGAAGACAGUAACCAAUGGCAAGUAGCUCACAUUUUUAAAAAUACAAUUUUAUUUUUAAAAGAUGGUUAUAUUUACGUCAUUUUUUCCAUCACCAUAAUUUUCCCCUUUCCCUUCCCAGAGAGCUAAAUAUUUUGAAAGAAAAGGUCUGAAAAUAUGUGCAAUGUACCACAUUUGUGUGCCUCUACCAAGUAGGGGAUGAGAAUAACUUCUCAUAUCUCUUCUUUUGGGUUGUGUGUUUUUUGUAAUUUUGCAACAUUCACUUUUGAUAUUUUUUUUGGUAUGGUUUUUUUCCAUGUAUACUGUAAUAGUCAUUAUAUAAGUAUAUAUACAGGCUCUGUUUACUCACUCUGGAUCAGUUCAUGUAGAUCUUUCCAUACAUCUCUAUAUUCAGCAUUUGCAGCACAGUGAUACUCCACCACAUUCAUGUACAAGUUUGUUUAGCUAUUCCUCAGUCUAUGGACAUCUUUAUUGCUUUCAAUUCCUUGCUAUCACACACAAAAAAAGUGCCACUAUAAAUAUUUUGGUAUCCUGGAUACAAGGACUUUUUUUUCUUACCAAUGGACUUCUUGGAGUUAUAAGCCUAGUGGUGGAGUCUCCAGAUAGAGUAAUUUUAGUCUUUUUUAAUUUAAAUACAGUCAAAUUUGUGAUAUGAAAAUAACUUUAAAAGACUGAUAUAUAUUAAUUUAAGGUCGCCAAGGAAUUCAGCUAUGUAAUUCCUAAAUGAAAACUCAAGUCAGCAGUCAACCUUUUAUGGAGUUUUUAAUUACAAACAGUAGGAAGAAAGGUAUUAGAGAGAGAGAGAGAAAGGGGAGAGAAGGGAAUAGGGCUUAAAUACCUACUCUGCUUAGGCUGGGCCAAAGGCCGAGGCAAAGAAAAGAGAUCAGUCCCUAUCACUCACGUGACCAAAAUGGAGAAACAGUCUGAGGGCCUCCACCCCAAACACCUGUCUCCAACAACCUCCUCUCUCUUCACACAGGAAGUCCCCAGCACUCCUGAGCUCUCCUCUCCUCACUUCCUGUGUCUACCCUGUGCUAAUGGUGGCUCUAGCUUAACCCAGGACCGCCCAGAGGUCUGACCCCUUUGCACAUGUCUGUUGAAGGACAUAUUCUCAAAUAAUUAAAUCUUGAGCUUUGCUGCAGCCCUUUCUAAAUCCUGUUACCUUGAGUAGGGUGGAGAUUGUAGUUUCCAAGACCUGAUUCUGUCAUUCCAAGUAUCUCUAUUGUUAUUGAUCAGGAAAUAGCCAAAUCCCAUCCUCUAAAGAAUGGUUUGAACAGGGUUGAGUAGUUUUGAAAUUCACAAAUUGGAGCUCACAUUCUCAUCAAAGAAGAGAAUACAUGUAGGUUUCAGGUGUAAUUCCAAUGGAAAGAUCCAUUGAUCUUUGGAGUCUGGUACCAAGGCAAAUUGUAAUGCAUCUUUAGUGUCAUUUCCAUUGAUAAAAUUAUAGACCUGUAUCCACUUCUAAUGUUGAGCUCCAUGACAAUGGUAAAGACUUACUAAGUGAGAGUGUCCUUUUCUGGGUCUUCAGCAGCUACAACUGCUGAGAGUCAGGUUAGAUACCUUCAGGGUUUACUUUCUGGGAUGAUGGUUGGGGGAAAAGGGAGUUCCUUGGGGGAGAAAGCAGGGAUAAUGGCCUGAGGACCACAGUUGUUCCUAUGGCCCUUAUGCUUACCUACCCAUUAACAAUCUAUUUGUUGUUGUGGCAUGGAUGGUGGACUCCUUUUCCACAGAGGUUACUCCCCUGGAUGAUGGCUGCAAGGACCAACCUGGAAACAGGGCUGGUAGUCUGGGGAACACUGCUAUUCCUGGGACUCUUUAGCACUGAAUCCUGGGCUGUCCCCACCAAAGCCAUAGGAAAGUGGAGAAAUCUGGGUAAGGUCUGCUUACCCAUAAGAAGACCCUUCUGGUUCACCAAGCCUCUGUAAGGGCAUUUGGGAAGAAGAGGAUAUUUACACCCUAACAAAAGGGAAAACUUCCUGGACAAAAAAUGUUCAGUCCCUUACAAAAUCAGUUGAGAUCUACUUGAAAUCUGCAAAUAUCUGUUACAAUCACCAAAGUCAAUAUUUUUCAAAAUAACAAGGGUGAUUAUUUCAAUAACUCAGGUUAUCAUGCCAUUGGAACAUCUACAUCAAAUCCAUACUUUCAUUACAUGAACAAUGCAAAAUAUCACUUGACAGGAGGCUUUAGUGCCUAAAUGUCUAAAUUAUAUACAGGAUAAUCCAAAUCUUUUUUUGUUGUUGUUGUGAUUGUUUUUGGUAUUUUGUUCUCGGACUUCCACAAGUGAGGUCAUUCAGUGAUUUAACAAUAACAACAUGAUUGGGUUGUUUUUUUUUUUUUAACCUUUUAUCUUAGUAGCAAGGGCUAGGCAAAUGGGAGUUAAGUGACUUGCCCAGGGUCAUAUAGCUAGGAAGUAUCAGAGGCCACAUUUGAACUCAGGUCCUUCUGACUCUAGGCCUGGUACCCUAUCUACUGUGCUAUUUAGUGGCCCCUCAGCAGAGUUCUUAAUGAAUUUGUGAUGCCAACCACAAAAUCCCAGAAAAAUCUAGCAUUUGACAUGGCCAAUUCAAGAGGGCUUUUAUGUCCUUUGGGUCAGUGAUCAUGCCUUGCUGUGAUACUACAUGCCCUACAUAAUCCAUAGGGCCCUGAAAAAUUAGAAUUUGCCUAAGCAAUGAAAGUUUCAGACAAGUUUCUUCUGCUGAUACAAUACUUUCAUCAGUCUCUCUUGAUGUCUUUCCAAAGACAAUGAGUUUGUAAGUACCCCAACCCUUCCAGCUAAUUCAUAUCUCAGAUUAAUUUCACCAGCCAUUAGAAAGUGGCAAGGUCCCCAGUGGUGUGCUGGUAAAUGUUUAACAACUGGCUCUCUUGGGGGAAAAUGUAUUCAUAAAACAAUUUUAAGUUUGAUCUGCAUUAACAUUUUCUCCAUCACCCUCCUGUCUAGAUGAUCAAUAACACAACAUAUCAAACCCUGAUUGGUAGCCUUUACUGAUUUCCAAAGUAUAAAUGCUUACCCUGAAAAUUUAACAUCAACUCAAGAGCUAGUUCAAGCUGGUAUAGCCUUGUGUGUCCGAGAUGACCUGGGACAUACAUUUGAACUGGUAAAAUUUGUUAAAAUAUAUUUUUUUAAAAUUUUAUUUAAUUAAUUUAGAAUAUUUUCCCAUGGUUACAAGAUUAAUGUUCUUUUCCUCUCCCCCCACCCCCCAUAGCCAAUGAGCAAUUCCACUGGGCUUUACAUGUGUUAUUGAUUAAGACCUAUGUCCAUAUUAUUGAUAUCUGCACUAGGGUUGGACUGGUAAAAUUUUAUUUAGAUAGAUGAAUGUGGUUUUCUCUUAAUUGUCUUCUGCCAUAACAAUUUGAUAGUCCCCGCAGUGUAAAUCCAACACUGAGAACCACUGGAUGACUGAUAGUCAAGGAGAACUUGAAUUUUCGGCAUGGUAUACUGGCCCACUUUUGUUCUGAUGUUCAAGUCCAGUAAUCUACACACUUGCACAUCUUCCCAUCCUUCUUGCAUGUCACCAUUAACAGGUGAUGCAUAAGUAGCUGGACUCUGUAAUGAUGCCAACAGUUGUUAAGGAUGAUUUCUGAACUCUUUCAUUACAAAUAAAUUUUCUGUUCUUCCUAUGUCUUCUUAAGGAUCCCUUCAUAAACAUUGUUGUUCAUUGUUUAACGAAUUUGGGGUACUAAUCAGUGAUACACUGAAGUGUGGGCUCAAGCCACUAGUAUUAGGAAGAUAGUAAUAUCCUCUUCAAGGUGACCCUUAUAACCUCGAUGGAGAAAUAAACCUAGCCAGCACUCUGGAGAUCCAAUUCUUCAGUGUCUAAGUAGAAGUUGAAUUAAGGACACCAUCCCUUCCCCAGGUAUAUAAAAGCUUUAUAUGCUAUAGGAUCUUUAUAUUGCAUUCAUUUGUGUAUCUUUUUAUUUUUAUUCUAAAAAAUUUUUUUCCCAUGGUGACAGGAUUCAUCUUCUUUCCCUCCCCUCUUCCCUCCCCCCACCCCCAGUUGACAAGCAAUUACACUGGGUUAUACAUAUAUUAUCACUCAAAACGAUUUCCAUAUUAUUCAUUUUUGUAACAGUAAUCUUUUAAAACUGAGGCCCCCAAGUCACAUACCCAUAGAAACAAGUGAUAAAUCAAGUAUUCUUCUGCAUUUCCAUUCCCACAGUUCUUUCGCAUAAACCUCAGAAUUGUCCUGGAUUGUUGCAUUGCUAUUAGUAGCAAACUCAGUUACAUUUUAUUGUUUCACAAUAUUGUAGUUACUGUGUAUAAUGUUCUGGUUCAGCUUAUUUCACUCUUCAUCAGUUCAUGUAAGUCCUUCCAAUUCUUAUAGAAAUCAAUCGUUUUUAUCAUACCAAAGCACAAUAGUAUUCCAUCAUCAUCAGAUUCCAAAUGUUCAGCCAUUCCCUAAUCAAGGGACACCCACUAAUUUUCCAAUUUUUUUGCCACCAUGAAAAGCAUAGCUAUACAUAUUUUUGUAUACAGUAAACAAGUCCAUUCUCCAUUGUUAACAUUUUCUUUGGGAUACAUAGUAGUGGUAUUUCUGGAUCAAAGGGCAUACAUUCUUUUAAAGCCUUUUUGGCACAGUUCCAAAUUAUUUUCCAAAAUGGUUGAAUCAACUCACACACAACUCCACCAACAAUACAUUAGUGUCCCAAUUUUGCCAUAUCCCCUCCAACAUUUAUUAUUUUCCUUUGCUGCCAUAUUGGCUAAUCUGCUAGGUGUAAGGUGGCACCUCAGAGUUCUUUUGAUUUUCAUUUCUCUAAACAGGAGGGAUUUGGAACAUUUUUUUCAUAUGAUUAUUGAUAGUUUUGAUUUCUUCAUCUGAAAACUGUCUAUUCAGAACCCUUGCCCUUUUGACAAUUGGGGAAGGCCUUGAUUCUUAUAAAUUUGACUUAGUUCUCUAUAGAUUUGAGAGAUUAGACCUUUAUCAAAAAAUUUUGUUAUAAAUUUUUUUUCCCCCAGUUUGUGGCUUCCCUUCUAAUCUUGGUUGCAUUAGUAUUGUUUGUACAAAACUUUUAAAUUUAAUUUAAUCAAAAUUAUCCAUUUUACAUCUCUUGUUUGGUCUUAAAUUCUUCCCUUCACCAUAGAUCUGACAAGUAAGCCUAAUUUACUUGUAAUGCCAUUCUUUAUGUUUAAGUCAUAUAUCCAUUUGGAACUUAUCUUUCUAUAGUGUGUGAGAUAUUGAUCUAAACUUAAUUUUUGCCAUCUUGUUUUCCAAUUUUCCAGCCGUUUUUGUGUAUCUUUUUGAUGUGUUUUCAAGGUAAUUCCUUGAUUAGGUUACAAUCAUCAUAUGAAGACGAGUCUAAGUGCGAUGAGGGUAUCUAUCUAAAUGAUUCUGUACAACAUCUACCAUAUAAGCAUGUGUAAACAAAUACUUAAUGAUCACCUUCUAUGGAUUCUGAUGGCAUGCAUACAACGAUGCAGGAAACAAGAUGGUCUGGUGGAAAGUACAUUGGACCCUAAUGGAUUCAGGGAUAUACAAGGAAAUGGUAAACUUGCUCCAGGAUCUGCAUCAAGAAAACUCUAAAAUGGCAUCAUGAAGAGUUGGACAUGACCAAAACAACUCAACAAUCAAAUAGAAUGAAGAGUUGGAGCUAAAACAAGGAGUGAGUGGAGUAGGGGAAAAGAAUAACUUCCAGAGGAGAAACCAGUAAAGCUAUAUCACUAGAUGAUUGGCCUAAAGAUGCUGCCCAAAAAUAGCCCCUGGAAAUAUGAGGAACUCUAGUCAGAGGAUGAACAGAGGUCACAUGUCUGGAUCUGGGAAGGGGUGAAGGUGAAAAGAAGGCACUUACUGGGUUCCAUGAGCAGCUGGAAGACGUGAAGGAGGAGUUAUUUUUAUCAUCCAACAGCACAAGAAGGAGACUCCCUAAUGAAAGAAAAAACAUAGGAUGGUAGAGGCUGCUUUUUCCUGAGCCCAGUAAAAAACCUGGGGAUAGUGGAGAGUCAGGAAUGUUCUAGUUUGAAACCUCAGGCUCAAAGAAGUUUGAAAAAGAAUUGUCUAUUUCAGAGUUAGUGAAAUAGAACUCAAGGCAAGGGUUUGGCCUUUUGUGGGCUUCUGUUUUCAUUUAGUUAUUCAAUAAAUGUUUUUGAGAACCUA